AUUAUACGGCGAAACUGCGAAUGGCUCAUUAAAUCAGUUAUUGUUUAUUUGAUAGCACCUUACUACAUGGAUAACCGUGGUAAUUCUAGAGCUAAUACAUGCUAAAAAUCCCGACUUCGGAAGGGAUGUAUUUAUUAGAUUAAAAACCAAUGCCCCUCGGGGCUUUCUGGUGAUUCAUGAUAACUUCUCGAAUCGCACGGCCUUGCGCUGGCGAUGGUUCAUUCAAAUUUCUGCCCUAUCAACUUUCGACGGCUGGGUCUUGGCCAGCCAUGGUGACAACGGGUAACGGAGGGUUAGGGCUCGACCCCGGAGAAGGAGCCUGAGAAACGGCUACUACGUCCAAGGAAGGCAGCAGGCGCGCAAAUUAACCAAUCCCGACUCGGGGAGUUAGUGACAAUACAUACUGAUACAGGGCUCUUUUGGGUCUUGUAAUCGGAAUGAGUACAAUUUAAACCCCUUAACGAGGAACAAUUGGAGGGCAAGUCUGGUGCCAGCAGCCGCGGUAAUUCCAGCUCCAAUAGCGUAUAUUAAAGUUGUUGCAGUUAAAAAGCUCGUAGUUGAACCUUGGGCCUGGCUGGCCGGUCCGCCUCACCGCGUGCACUGGUCCGGCCGGGCCUUUCCCUCUGGGGAACCUCAUGCCCUUCACUGGGUGUGCUGGGGAACCAGGACUUUUACUUUGAACAAAUCAGAUCGCUUAAAGAAGGCCUAUGCUCGAAUAUAUUAGCAUGGAAUAAUAGAAUAGGACGUGUGGUUCUAUNUNGUUGGUUUCUAGGACCGCCGUAAUGAUUAAUAGGGACAGUCGGGGGCAUCAGUAUUCAAUUGUCAGAGGUGAAAUUCUUGGAUUUAUUGAAGACUAACUACUGCGAAAGCAUUUGCCAAGGAUGUUUUCAUUAAUCAGGAACGAAAGUUAGGGGAUCGAAGACGAUCAGAUACCGUCGUAGUCUUAACCAUAAACUAUGCCGACUAGGGAUCGGACGAUGUUAUUCAUUGACUCGUUCGGCACCUUACACGAAAGUAAAGUUUUUGGGUUCUGGGGGGAGUAUGGUCGCAAGGCUGAAACUUAAAGAAAUUGACGGAAGGGCACCACCAGGGGUAAACCUAACCGCAGUUACUCUGCCCCGAAAAGCAGCCCGAUGAAAAGGGUUAGUGGUGUUCCUCAGCGCUCGGAUGCCGGCGCUGGAACUAAGUGCUAGUCCGGCCCGGGAGUCACUGACUCCCGGGGCGGGCGACACCUUCAAAUUGCGGGAAGUUCCUAAAGCUCGUGUGACUAACCGGCGUGCGAAAGCUCGUCGGGGCCCGGCUAACAGCCACAGGGGAGUAACACUACGCGAGAUGCUACAAUGGAUGAUCCGCAGCCAAGCCCCUACAGCCCCCUCCCGGGGGGGCCACGGGGAAGGUUCAGAGACUUGAUGGAGGUGGUCGCGGGACCGAGGCCAUAACGGCCCCGGGGCAUCAGUGCCCCGGGGCGGCCUCGCCCGCGGCUAAGGUAAAGUCCGGCCCUGCGGGAAACCGCAGGGGGCUUAAACGGGAGCCUGCGGCUUAAUUUGACUCAACACGGGGAAACUCACCAGGUCCAGACACAAGUAGGAUUGACAGAUUGAGAGCUCUUUCUUGAUUUUGUGGGUGGUGGUGCAUGGCCGUUCUUAGUUGGUGGAGUGAUUUGUCUGCUUAAUUGCGAUAACGAACGAGACCUUAACCUGCUAAAUAGCCCGCGUUGCCUUGGCAGCGCGCUGGCUUCUUAGAGGGACUAUCGGCUCAAGCCGAUGGAAGUUUGAGGCAAUAACAGGUCUGUGAUGCCCUUAGAUGUUCUGGGCCGCACGCGCGCUACACUGACAGAGCCAGCGAGUACUCCCUUGGCCGGAAGGCCCGGGUAAUCUUGUUAAACUCUGUCGUGCUGGGGAUAGAGCAUUGCAAUUAUUGCUCUUCAACGAGGAAUCCCUAGUAAGCGCAAGUCAUCAGCUUGCGUUGAUUACGUCCCUGCCCUUUGUACACACCGCCCGUCGCUACUACCGAUUGAAUGGCUCAGUGAGGCUUUCGGACUGGCCCAGAGAGGUUGGCAACGACCACUCAGG
rnacentral:rRNA from 1 species